AGGAUGAACGCUGGCGGCGUGCCUAAUACAUGCAAGUCGAACGAGGUGCUUGAGUAGCAAUACAAGAGUAUCCUAGUGGCGAACGGGUGAGUAACACGUUGGUGACCUACCCCAAAGUGUGGGAUAACAGUCCGAAAGGAUUGCUAAUACCGCAUGUGAUCAUCGGAUUUAGAAACUGAUGAUUAAAGGAGCAAUUCGCUUUGGGAGGGACCUGCGUCCCAUCAGCUAGUUGGUGAGGUAAUGGCUCACCAAGGCGACGACGGGUAGGGGACCUGAGAGGGUGGCCCCCCACAAUGGAACUAGAAACACGGUCAUACACCUACGGGUGGCAGCAGUAGGAAUAUUGCACAAUGGGCAAAGCCUGAUGCAGCAACGCCGCGUGUGCGA
rnacentral:rRNA from 1 species